CCGGAUUUAUUAGGUUUAAAGGGUUCGCAGGCGGAAUUUUAAGUCAGUGGUGAAAGCCUAUAGCUCAACUAUAGAACUGCCAUUGAUACUGAAAUUCUUGAGUAUAGAUGAAGUGGGCGGAAUAUGUCAUGUAGCGGUGAAAUGCAUAGAUAUGACAUGGAACACCAAUUGCGAAGGCAGCUCACUAAACUAUUACUGACGCUCAUGAACGAAAGCAUGGGGAGCGAACAGGAUUAGAUACCCUGGUAGUCCAUGCUGUAAACUAUGAUCACUAGAUGUUGGCGAUAUAUUGUCAGUGUUUUAGAGAAAUCGUUAAGUGAUCCACCUGGGGAGUACGUUCGCAAGAAUGAAACUCAAAGGAAUUGACGGGGGCUCGCACAAGCGGUGGAGCAUGUGGUUUAAUUCGAUGAUACGCGAGGAACCUUACCAAGACUUAAAUGUAUUUUGCUAAAUUGAGAAAUCAAUUGUUCUUCGGACAAUUUACAAGGUGCUGCAUGGUUGUCGUCAGCUCGUGCCGUGAGGUGUCGGGUUAAGUCCCAUAACGAGCGCAACCCCUAUUUUUAGUUACCAGCGAAUAAUGUCGGGGGCUCUAGAAAGACUGCCUGUGUAAACAGUGAGGAAGGUGGGGAUGAUGUCAAAUCAUCACGGCCCUUAUGUCUUGGGCUACACACGUGCUACAAUGGUUACUACAGUAGGAUGCCAUCUGGUGACAGAGAGCUAAUCUAUAAAGGUAAUCUUAGUUCGGAUCGGAGUCUGCAACUCGACUCUGUGAAGUUGGAAUCGCUAGUAAUCGUAUAUCAGCAAUGAUACGGUGAAUACGUUCCCGGGCCUUGUACACACCGCCCGUCAAGCCAUGGAAGUUUGUAGUGCCUGAAGUCAGUAACCGAAAGGAUCUGCCUAGGGUAAGAUAGAUAACUAGGGCUAGUCGUAACAAGGUAGCCGU
rnacentral:rRNA from 1 species